UUCUCUCAGAGAUCAGGCCUCAAUUUCAGUUUCCUGAGACUUGAGCAAGCAGUUUCUGGGAGGGCCAUGAACAAAAGACAUAGUCCUUGCAGUAGCUCCCUUUCUGCACAUACUCUGACUGCUCAAAGUUCAGCCAGAUGUUUACUUUCUGGGGCCCCUCACCAACUUAGAGUUAUGUGCAGUACAUGCUUGGCCAGCCAGCCCCCAUGGUGGCUCAAGGACAAAGCCUGGGACUUGUGCUGGACUGCCCCCAAAGCAAUAAAUUGUAACCACCAACCAGUAAAAGAGAACAGAGAUAGAAAUAAACCAAUCCGAGUUGCACCCGUGCAAAACUCCCCCAACUCCCCUGAAGGGCUUGUGGAUUUUGCCUUUAAAAAGCUAGCCACACAAAGAAAAAGCAAGUUCCUCCUGGCCUCACGACUACGAGUGAGUGCUUUGGAUCGAGCUUCCCUGUCCGCGGCUUGUAAACAAACAGAAAUAAACCAUGCUGUUGCAUUCUGAACCUAAGGUCUGUGGUGAAGUCUUUGGGGUCCCUAUCUGGGCAUAACAUUUGGUGCAUUGGCCGGGAACCCCAGAGACCCCACCAGGACCCUCAAGUGUCCAGAGGUUUAUUGACAUCUACCGGGAGAAUUUCACAUUAUGGGCCCAGCAGCCAAGACUGAUGCUGUCCUGACACCUGUCCUGCCAACACUAUGAAGACUAUAGGAGCCUGGGAUGAUGGCAGUCUGGGUUUCCACUUGGCUGACAGAUACAUCCAAGCAUCAUUUGCUGGUGACAACCUACUGCAAAUGACUAUGAGCCCUGAACUUGCUGAAAGCUGAUGUGGACCAAUUCAGCC